rnacentral:rRNA from 1 species
GAUGAACGCUGGCGGCGUGCUUAACACAUGCAAGUCGAACGGUGAAGCCGGAGCUUGCCCUGCUGGACCAUUGGCGAACGGGGGAGUAACACGUGAGCAAUCUGCCCCUGACACUGGGAUAAGCGCUGGAAACGGCGUCUAAUACUGGAUACAAGCUGUGAAGGCAUCUUCAUCAGCUGGAAAGAAUGUCGGUCAGGGCUAGGCUCGCGGCCUAUCAGCUUGUUUGUGAGGUAGUGGCUGACCAAGGCUAAGACGGGUAGCCGGCAUGGGAGGGUGACCGGCGACCAUAGGACUGAGGCACGCACCAGACGCCUACGGGAGGCAGUAGUGGGGAAUCUUGCACAAUGGGGGAGAGCCUGAUGCAGCAACGCCCCGUGAGGAAAGACGGCUUUCGAGUUGUAAACCUCUUUUAGCAGGGAAGAAGCGAAAGUGACGGUACCUGAAGAAAAAGCGCCGGCUAACUACGUG